rnacentral:rRNA from 1 species
GGUUAAGCGACUAAGCGUACACGGUGGAUGCCCUGGCAGUCAGAGGCGAUGAAGGACGUGCUAAUCUGCGAAAAGCGUCGGUAAGGUGAUAUGAACCGUUAUAGCCGGCGAUGUCCGAAUGGGGAAACCCAGUGCAAUUCGUUGCACUAUCGUUAACUGAAUACAUAGGUUAACGAGGCGAACCGGGGGAACUGAAACAUCUAAGUACCCCGAGGAAAAGAAAUCAACCGAGAUUCCCCCAGUAGCGGCGAGCGAACGGGGAGCAGCCCAGAGUCUGAAUCAGCUUGUGUGUUAGUGGAACGGUCUGGAAAGUCCGACGGUACAGGGUGAUAGUCCCGUACACCAAAAUGCACAGGCUGUGAACUCGAAGAGUAGGGCGGGACACGUGGUAUCCUGUCUGAAUAUGGGGGGACCAUCCUCCAAGGCUAAAUACUCCUGACUGACCGAUAGUGAACCAGUACCGUGAGGGAAAGGCGAAAAGAACCCCGGCGAGGGGAGUGAAAAAGAACCUGAAACCGUGUACGUACAAGCAGUGGGAGCACCUUCGGGUGUGACUGCGUACCUUUUGUAUAAUGGGUCAGCGACUUAUAUUCUGUAGCAAGGUUAACCGUAUAGGGGAGCCGCAGGGAAACCGAGUCUUAACUGGGCGUUAAGUUGCAGGGUAUAGACCCGAAACCCGGUGAUCUAGCCAUGGGCAGGUUGAAGGUUGGGUAACACUAACUGGAGGACCGAACCGACUAAUGUUGAAAAAUUAGCGGAUGACUUGUGGCUGGGGGUGAAAGGCCAAUCAAACCGGGAGAUAGCUGGUUCUCCCCGAAAGCUAUUUAGGUAGCGCCUCGUGAACUCAUCUUCGGGGGUAGAGCACUGUUUCGGCUAGGGGGUCAUCCCGACUUACCAACCCGAUGCAAACUACGAAUACCGAAGAAUGUUAUCACGGGAGACACACGGCGGGUGCUAACGUCCGUCGUGAAGAGGGAAACAACCCAGACCGCCAGCUAAGGUCCCAAAGUCACAGUUAAGUGGGAAACGAUGUGGGAAGGCACAGACAGCCAGGAUGUUGGCUUAGAAGCAGCCAUCAUUUAAAGAAAGCGUAAUAGCUCACUGGUCGAGUCGGCCUGCGCGGAAGAUGUAACGGGGCUAAACUGUGCACCGAAGCUGCGGCAGCGACACUAUGUGUUGUUGGGUAGGGGAGCGUUCUGUAAGCCUGCGAAGGUGGCCUGUGAGGGUUGCUGGAGGUAUCAGAAGUGCGAAUGCUGACAUAAGUAACGAUAAUGCGGGUGAAAAGCCCGCACGCCGGAAGACCAAGGGUUCCUGUCCAACGUUAAUCGGGGCAGGGUGAGUCGACCCCUAAGGCGAGGCCGAAAGGCGUAGUCGAUGGGAAACAGGUUAAUAUUCCUGUACUUGGUGUUACUGCGAAGGGGGGACGGAGAAGGCUAUGUUAGCCGGGCGACGGUUGUCCCGGUUUAAGCAUGUAGGCGGAGGUUCCAGGUAAAUCCGGUACCUUUUAACGCUGAGGUGUGAUGACGAGGCACUACGGUGCUGAAGUAACAAAUGCCCUGCUUCCAGGAAAAGCCUCUAAGCAUCAGGUAACAUUGAAUCGUACCCCAAACCGACACAGGUGGUCAGGUAGAGAAUACCAAGGCGCUUGAGAGAACUCGGGUGAAGGAACUAGGCAAAAUGGUGCCGUAACUUCGGGAGAAGGCACGCUGAUAUGUAGGUGAAGCCCCUGCGGGUGGAGCUGAAAUCAGUCGAAGAUACCAGCUGGCUGCAACUGUUUAUUAAAAACACAGCACUGUGCAAACACGAAAGUGGACGUAUACGGUGUGACGCCUGCCCGGUGCCGGAAGGUUAAUUGAUGGGGUUAUCCGUAAGGAGAAGCUCUUGAUCGAAGCCCCGGUAAACGGCGGCCGUAACUAUAACGGUCCUAAGGUAGCGAAAUUCCUUGUCGGGUAAGUUCCGACCUGCACGAAUGGCGUAAUGAUGGCCAGGCUGUCUCCACCCGAGACUCAGUGAAAUUGAACUCGCUGUGAAGAUGCAGUGUACCCGCGGCAAGACGGAAAGACCCCGUGAACCUUUACUAUAGCUUGACACUGAACAUUGAGCCUUGAUGUGUAGGAUAGGUGGGAGGCUUUGAAGCGUGGACGCCAGUCUGCGUGGAGCCAACCUUGAAAUACCACCCUUUAAUGUUUGAUGUUCUAACGUUGGCCCCUUAUCGGGGUUGCGGACAGUGUCUGGUGGGUAGUUUGACUGGGGCGGUCUCCUCCCAAAGAGUAACGGAGGAGCACGAAGGUUAGCUAAUCCUGGUCGGACAUCAGGAGGUUAGUGCAAUGGCAUAAGCUAGCUUGACUGCGAGCGUGACGGCGCGAGCAGGUGCGAAAGCAGGUCAUAGUGAUCCGGUGGUUCUGAAUGGAAGGGCCAUCGCUCAACGGAUAAAAGGUACUCCGGGGAUAACAGGCUGAUACCGCCCAAGAGUUCAUAUCGACGGCGGUGUUUGGCACCUCGAUGUCGGCUCAUCACAUCCUGGGGCUGAAGUAGGUCCCAAGGGUAUGGCUGUUCGCCAUUUAAAGUGGUACGCGAGCUGGGUUUAGAACGUCGUGAGACAGUUCGGUCCCUAUCUGCCGUGGGCGCUGGAGAAUUGAGGGGGGCUGCUCCUAGUACGAGAGGACCGGAGUGGACGCAUCACUGGUGUUCGGGUUGUCAUGCCAAUGGCAUUGCCCGGUAGCUAAAUGCGGAAGAGAUAAGUGCUGAAAGCAUCUAAGCACGAAACUUGCCCCGAGAUGAGUUCUCCCUGAGACUUUAAGUCUCCUGAAGGAACGUUAAAGACGAUGACGUUGAUAGGUCGGGUGUGUAAGCGUAGCGAUACGUUGAGCUAACCGAUACUAAUGAACCGUGAGGCUUAACCUU